GACGAACGCUGGCGGCGUGCUUAACACAUGCAAGUCGAACGAUGAAGAAGAGAAACGCGAACUUCGGUUCAAAUUUCACUUCGGAUUAGUGGCAGACGGGUGAGUAACGCGUGAGCAACCUACCUCUUACAAAGGGAUAGCCUCGGGAAACCGUGAUUAAUACCAUAUGACACAUUCAUAAGGCAUCUUAAGAAUAUUAAAGCUACGGCGGUAAGAGAUGGGCUCGCGUCCCAUUAGCUAGUUGGUGAGGUAACGGCCCACCAAGGCGACGAUGGGUAACCGGCCUGAGAGGGUGAACGGUCACAUUGGAACUGAGACACGGUCCAAACUCCUACGGGAGGCAGCAGUGGGGAAUAUUGCACAAUGGAGGGAACUCUGAUGCAGCGACGCCGCGUGAGCGAUGAAGGAAUUCGUUUCGUAAAGCUCUGUUCUAUGGGAAGAAAAGGACUGUACCAUAGGAGAAAGCCCCGGCUAAAUACGUG
rnacentral:rRNA from 1 species